rnacentral:rRNA from 1 species
GCAAGUCGUGCGAGAAAGUUUCUUCGGAAACUAGUAGAGCGGCGAACGGGUGAGUAACACGUAAAUAACCUGCCCUUAAGUUUGGGCAAACCUUGCUAACGCGAGGCUAAUACCGGUUGUGAAUAUUGAAACUCAUGUUUCUUUAUUUAAAGGCCCCUUGGGGUUGCUUAAGGAUGGAUUUGCGGACCAUUAGUUAGUUGGUAGGGUAACGGCCUACCAAGACUGUGAUGUGUAGCCGACCUGAGAGGGUGAUC